rnacentral:rRNA from 1 species
CGCACAUCUUUUAUCUCUCUCUGCCCCUCUCUUCUAAAUCACAAGUGUGUGUACAUGAGCAUCUCAUUUUCUCAUCUCUCUCCUUAUCUUCUCUCACGACCACACGGCGGACGGCAAACGACCACCGGCACGCCGCGACAUCGCGAGCACGCCGCGGAGGACAAGGCCCGAUGACAUUCGUCUCCUCCGGCCGCUGAGCUCGCCCUUCCGACGACGCGCCGGAUUGGCCGGUACGUCGAGGUCGUGCGGGACGACCCACCAGACUCCUGCCUGCACGCGCUCGCCUCGGCCGUCUUUGCUCUUCUUCCCGGCCUAGCUGUUGUUCCUCCUCCGAGGCUCCGUCUCUUCGUUAACCAAGCAAGCAGCAGCACCAGCGGUGCAGCUAGCUAGCUAGUACGCUGGUGUGUCUAGCUAGCUAGUACGCCUAGCAGCUCAGGAAGACGGCGAGGAUCAAGAGCAGCAACAGCGCACGCGACAAGCAGCAGAGGGCACGCCAUGGCAAGCAGCAAUAGCGGCCGGCGUCUGCAGUUGACCACCAAUGGAUCUAGGAUGGGUCGGGUGGCGCUAUUUUUUUUGUUUCCAUUUACUCCCUUUACUGAGAGGUACUCUCGGUAAACUAACUUGCCACGUGGCUACAUCGCCGUUUGCUCCGUCCCGUCUGAUCAUUUUUUUUUUGCCGAGUGACCGUAUUUAAAACUCGGCAAAGACUUUGCCGAAUGUCCGACAAAUGAAUCUUGGCAAAUUUCUGUUUGCUGAAAGGGGUACGCCGAGUGUUAUUUGCCGAGUGUAACACUCGGCAAAGUCUUUGCCGAGUGUUUGUGGCACUCGGCGUACAGUUCAAUUCUAGUAGUGAUUGGCUAGCGGUGCCAAUAAUCAGCCCAGUAAUUAACUUAUUAAUUGAUGGUUACAUCUAUCAGCAGAGCCAACGCCAUCCUGUGGGUCAAGGACUCCUAGUCCUACUAGCUCCAGUUGGCCGAAUAUAUUAUAACCUUCUUGUGAAUCCAAUCUCUGGUACUCCCUCCGUCUGGGUUUAUUGGGCCCGUGAGCAAGAAUGCGGCGUCCCUUCUUAUUAGGCCCUCCCGUCCG